CUUUUGAAAAAACGAUCCCAAACCUCUGCACAACCUGCAGCUACCCAGGGAGUCCUCCAGGCUCUCUCCCAGCCUUCCUCUGCAUGCCUCAACUCGAGUCGCAGUCCUCAAGUCCAGCAGAAUGCAGAUUUUGACCUAAGCUACCUGCAUUGGGAAAUAAAGGUGCUUGAAAAACUGAGAAAUGUUUUCCAGACAGAUUCGCUUACAGAGAUCCAGGAAUGGCUCUCAAAGGCAAGUCUAAAAGGUAACAAGCAUACACAUUCAUUUUUGAAAGGAACAAUCUCUAGCAUAGUUGUAUAAACCCCAGAAAUUCUCACAGGCCUGAACUGUGUGGGAUUGCUGAGUUGGAAGGACUCACUGAGGUGUCCCCAAUGUGGCCAUUCUGAACAGAAAUCACUCACUCAGAUCUCAGCAGACUCAAGGUUUGCUGCAGGGUAGGAAAACCUCACACUCUCAGUAGCACUCUGGGCUGCUGUGGGAAGGCAGAAAACAAAUAUUAUCUCUCAUGUCCUUAAGCCCCUCAAAAAUCCCAGGUGAGGGAACUCCUAAAUUCACCUCUAAACAUCCAAAUCGGCAAACAAUAAUGUAAAUAAAAUCUCCAUUGUUUUCCAAUUUCAGAGAAAGUCUUCAUGUCCAGACUGAUUUACUCUGAACUGAGUGGUAAAGGCAGGCCGAAUAACCAGCCACAUGCAAUGCAGGAAGGUGCAGGAGAGGGCAUGAAUAUCCAGAGUUUGCUAAAGCCUCGGCCUCCUUCUCAGAGAGGCCCAGAAGGAGAAACAAAUAACAGGCCUUCAACUAGCGCAUCAGAAGCAAGUCAAAACAUGAAGCACGAAAUGGAUAAAGACUGUACUUUGUCCUCAAGGCUGAGAAGCAGAGGUCCAGCACAUGCAGACGCGUCAUCUCCAGAGAAGAGCCAAGGCUGGCAAUGGAAACAAAGAGACGUGCCCUCACAUGCUGCCCUGCAGCAAGCCAAACAACAGAUAGCCCCCUUCCAAGGGAGGCCCGUAUCUUCAUAGCCACUAAGGCAGUUGCAAGUCAUUUUCACAUACAGAAAUACAUACUCUUAGCACUUACAGAUAUAAAAAUUAGAACAAAUGUAAAGAAAUCUGUUCAGAUUCCCUUUUAGAAUUAUUUUCUGCUCAUUACAUUUGGCUCUCAAAUCAUGCUGCCUAGGUACGUGUGAAGUAAGCUAGAUGGAAAAAGACAGAGGCAACACUUUUCAGCAUCAGAUUUGUCUUUUUGCAUGACCCCCUGAGGCCUGCACAAAUAGCUCUUGUAUGCGGGCUUAACUCCAUGGUCACAGGCAUAAUAAGACAAGGAGAGGGUCACCACCAAAAAAAAAGACCCUGGGUUCCCAAAGUCUGGCUGCAGUGACUGUAGAUGUCUAUCUCACAGCAAACCAUUGUGUACUUCCAUAUCUCCCAUUACUAGCAGAGAAGCAUCACAGAUUUUAGCAUCUGCAGCACAUGGGGCAAAGCAAACAUUAAAACUACCAUGCAAACGUCAAGCCACUGAAACGUAGGCCAACAGCGACAGAAAAAUACCUGGACCUUUCUUAGGUUGAGGGAACUAUGAAAGCAGAACAAUUAGAUUUUAUCUGCUCUGUCAAUUCAUUCUCACAAAACCAAAGUGUGCUGACAAAUAAGCUCCAGUUCUAUUGAUUUUCUAGAGAAAAAAAAAUAUUCAGUGAAAAUAGGCUCUUUCAAAACAACUGCCUGUUUGUGGGGAAAGGAGAGUUCUGUUAGCACAAUGUUAUGGCAAAAGAAGCUUAGCUCUGAGCAGAGCUUAGUUUACCCUUCUAACAGCCCCUAUCAUCACGUCUAGUCAUUUCUACCAUAAUAACAGCUACCUCCUCCAUUCCCACUUCCCUCUGCAGGACAGGAGUGUGCUGUGACCUGGGUAACAGUCCAGCUCUGUGAGCAGCCAAUGAAAAGCCACUUGCACAGAGCAGCCAUUGCUCAGGUGCACUUGCCAACUCAUACCACAGAUGCAGAAACUCAUUUGUAUAAAACGAUUUAAAUGGGUAUCAGUUUCUGGGAUAUGUUAGGCAUAUGUGUUUCCCUACAGCUGUCCAACAGUAUUAGCCUGUAGGGCAUGGUAAAUGGGAGCGGAGCUUCAAGUGGGAGGAGUUGGCAAGCAUUAUAUCAUACAAGAUGAAUCCCCUUCCCUUCUACAGCGCUUUCAAAUUUCCCUUGUGUCUCAGGUAAUAACACUACUAAAGAGCUGGAAACCAAAUAGCAGCAAAACUGAACAGCAGGGCUGAAUGACCAUACAUCAAGUGAACAGUAACAAUAUCUGUGUGUGUACUUCUGGGCCAUAUUCACAUUGCCUUAAUUCUAUAUAAAUCUCUGCCCUAGGCAUAUCUUAUCAGCUGUCUCUCAGCAUCAUGCUGUGUUAGUUGAAAAGCUUAAUUAAAUCUCAGAGACCUUGGAGACUCAUUACUGAACAGAAUUAGAAUGAAAGCAACAACAUUAGUACAGCUUUUCAAAAGCACAGUUACGUUUUCUCCAUGAAGCUGGCAGGCUACUGAGCAAACAUGUUAGAGCCAUUAAGUGAGACAGUUUGCAAGGUUAGUAUCAAUCAACUGCAUCUUCAAAGUUAUUUCCCUUAAAAACCAUAGGCUACUGCUUUUGCUAGAUGUCUGAAAACAAAUCUCCAUCAAAGGUACUUCACCCAUCUAGGAAAAUCAUAGAACCAUAGAAUGGCUUGGGUGGGAAGGGACCUUUAAGAUCAUCUAGUUCCAACCCCCUGCUACAGGCAGGGACACCUCCCACUAGACCAGUAUGCUCAAAGCCCCAUCCAGCCUGGCCUUGAAUACUUCCAGGGAGGGGGCACCCACAACCUCCCUGGGCAACCUGUUCCGAUUUCUCACCACCCUCACAGUACAGAAUUUCUUCCUAAUAUCUAGUCUAAAUCUACCCUCUUUCAGUUUAAAGCCAUUUCCUCUCUUCGUGUCAGUACAUGCCCUUAUAAAAAGUCCAUCCCCAGCUUUCCUGCAGGCCCUCUUCAGGUAGUGGAAGGCCACUAUAAGCUCCCCCCAGAGCCUUUUCUUCUUCAGGCUGAAGAGCCCCAACUCUCUCAGCCUGUCCUCGCAGGGCAGGUCCUCCAGCCCUCUGAUCAUCUUCAUGGCCCUCCUCUGGACCUGCUCCACAUCCUUCUUGUGUUGGGGGCCCCAGAACUGGAUGCAGUACUCCAGGUGAGGUCUUACAAGAGCAGACUAGAGGGGCAGAAUCACCUCUCUUGACCUGCUGGUCAUGUUUCUAUUGAUGCAACCCAGGAUACGGUUGGCCUUCUGGGCUGCAAGAACAAAGGACAAACAAGUUUCAAUGUGUGAAUCUUAAGACUAGAAUAAAAGUUAUUUAUGUUUAGAGGAUGAGGAAUGGCAAAAUUCACCCUAGAUCAACAGGCCACAGCCUAAUACAGAUGUUACCUAGAUGUUACCUGUGCACCUGUCCUGACUCCUUCCCUGGUCCUACCUGCCUGCUCUAUUGGCGAUGUAGAUUCUCUAACAGGAAGAGCUGAAACAGAUUCUUACAAACACCAAGGCACAGCAAGGAUGGAGAUCCUUGUAAGACUAUUCUGGUGAGGCAGCUGCAUUUCUUUGUCCUGUAAUAAAAUUAGAUGCCUCAUCUUCAGAACUAUCAUUUGCUCUUACCACCAACAGCUGGGAGUCUGCAGCCUUUUGGAACCAUCCUCUGUUACUGAGAAGAAUCAG
rnacentral:lncRNA from 7 species